rnacentral:tRNA from 2 species
GCGCUCGUAGCUCAGCUGGAUAGAGCACUAGACUACGAAUCUAGGGGCCGGGGGUUCGAAUCCCUCCGAGCGCACCA